CAGUGCCGCGUGUGUGAAGAAGGCCUUCGGGUUGUAAAGCACUUUUGUCAGGAACGAAACGGUGGGGGCUAAUAUCUCCUGCUAAUGACGGUACCUGAAGAAUAAGCACCGGCUAACUACGUGCCAGCAGCCGCGGUAAUACGUAGGGUGCGAGCGUUAAUCGGAAUUACUGGGCGUAAAGCGUGCGCAGGCGGUUGUGCAAGACAGAUGUGAAAUCCCCGGGCUUAACCUGGGAAUUGCAUUUGUGACUGCACGGCUAGAGUGUGUCAGAGGGGGGUAGAAUUCCACGUGUAGCAGUGAAGUGCGUAGAUAUGUGGAGGAAUACCGAUGGCGAAGGCAGCCCCCUGGGAUAACACUGACGCUCAUGCACGAAAGCGUGGGGAGCAAACAGGAUUAGAUACCCUGGUAGUCCACGCCCUAAACGAUGUCUACUAGUUGUCGGGUCUUAACUGAUUUGGUAACGCAGCUAACGCGUGAAGUAGACCGCCUGGGGAGUACGGUCGCAAGAUUAAAACUCAAAGGAAUUGACGGGGACCCGCACAAGCGGUGGAUGAUGUGGAUUAAUUCGAUGCAACGCGAAAAACCUUACCUAACC
rnacentral:rRNA from 1 species